rnacentral:rRNA from 1 species
GCGAUCAUAUCAGUACUAAUGCAUCGGAUCCCAUCAGAACUCCGAAGUUUAGCGUGCUUGGGCGAGAGCAGUACUAGGAUGGGUGACCCCUUGGGAAGUCCUCGUGUUGCACCU